rnacentral:rRNA from 1 species
UAAUACGUAGGGGGCGAGCGUUGUCCGAAGUUACUGGGCGUAAAGCGCGCGUAGGCGGCCGCUUAAGUUGGAUGUGAAAUCCCACAGCUCAACUGUGGAACUGCAUCCAAAACUGGGCGGCUAGAGGAUGGAAGAGGGUAGUGGAAUUCCUGGUGUAGCGGUGAAAUGCGUAGAUAUCAGGAGGAACACCCGUGGCGAAGGCGGCUACCUGGUCCAUUUCUGACGCUGAGGUGCGAAAGCUAGGGGAGCGAACGGG